AUGAAUUUGAUGAGCCUUCACUUACCAACUAAGUCCUGCCUGCUGCACAUCAUGAGCCUUCUCCUAGCCUUGGAGCUGCUGCUGCUCCUGCUCGCCUUGCCACACCUUACUUCUGCCUCAAAUUCCACGCAUCCGUCACUGUAUCGGCAAGCCAAGGCACUUCUCCAGUGGAAAUCAAGCCUAGAGGGAUGGAGCUUUGAGCUGGACUCAUGGACAAAGGUAACCAGCCCCGGUGACUGGACGGGCGUAGGCUGCAGCAACGCCGUGCUGCCUCGUGGAGUUCUAGCCGAGCUCACUUACUUGGGUUUGUCCCAGAAUGGCCUGAAUGGAUCUAUCCCAAGUUCCCAACUUCCCUAG
rnacentral:rRNA from 1 species